rnacentral:rRNA from 1 species
GAUGAACGCUAGCGAUAGGCUUAACACGUGCAAGUCGAGGGGCAGCAUGGUCUUAGCUUGCUAAGGCUGAUGGCGACCGGCGCACGGGUGCGUAACGCGUAUGCAACUUGCCUCACAGAGGGGGAUAACCCGUCGAAAGACGGACUAAUACCGCGUACACUCUAUGUUGGGCAUCCAAUGUAGAGGAAAUGAAAUUCGCUGUGAGAUAGGCAUGCGUCCCAUUAGCUAGUUGGUGAGGUAACGGCUCACCAAGGCGACGAUGGGUAGGGGAACUGAGAGGUUGAACCCCCACACUGGUACUGAGACACGGACCAGACUCCUACGGGAGGCAGCAGUGAGGAAUAUUGGUCAAUGGGCGAGAGCCUGAACCAGCCAAGUCGCGUGAAGGAUGACUGUCUUAUGGAUUGUAAACUUCUUUUAUACGGGAAUAACAAGAGUCACGUGUGGCUCCCUGCAUGUACCGUAUGAAUAAGCAUCGGCUAACUCCGUG